AUAAAAAGUGUUGUGUCCAACAACCAAUUUCAUAAAUUUGCUUUCCGAGUAGCCCCUAUUUUAGGGGCUUUUUUUAUGGG
rnacentral:ncRNA from 1 species